ACGAACGCUGGCGGCGUGCUUAACACAUGCAAGUCGAACGGAAAGGCCCUGCUUUUGUGGGGUGCUCGAGUGGCGAACGGGUGAGUAACACGUGAGUAACCUGCCCUUGACUUUGGGAUAACUUCAGGAAACUGGGGCUAAUACCGGAUAGGAGCUCCUGCUGCAUGGUGGGGGUUGGAAAGUUUCGGCGGUUGGGGAUGGACUCGCGGCUUAUCAGCUUGUUGGUGGGGUAGUGGCUUACCAAGGCUUUGACGGGUAGCCGGCCUGAGAGGGUGGCCGGCCACAUUGGGACUGAGAUACGGCCCAGACUCCUACGGGAGGCAGCAGUGGGGAAUAUUGCACAAUGGGCGGAAGCCCGAUGCAGCAACGCCGCGUGCGGGAUGACGGCCUUCGGGUUGUAAACCGCUUUCGCCUGUGACGAAGCGUGAGUGACGGUAAUGGGUAAAGAAGCACCGGCUAACUACGUG
rnacentral:rRNA from 1 species